rnacentral:misc_RNA from 1 species
AUCCAACCCGCCACAUAAAAUCUAAUUGUCGCCGUCUUCGAUUCCAAAUUCGAAACUUCUUUGAAAUCUCAAAUCUUUGUCUUUCUCACUUCUCUAACUCUUAAUCGCUCUCAUCCCUUCUUUGUUCUUGCGGUGCCCAUCUCUGUGCACCCACAAACAAUACCCACUUAGGCUUCCCUAAUCUUCACAGUUUCUGAAAAUGGAGGCAAAAAAGCAGCCGCUGAUUAUUACAGACAAAGACCGGAUGAGGAAUUGGUCUAGGUCAGUGAGAUCCCAGGGCAAGACCAUAGCCCUUGUACCCACUAUGGGUUACCUCCACCAAGGUCACAUAUCACUCGUCAAAGAAGCUCACAAACACGCCAAUUUAAUAGUAGUGUCAAUCUAUGUGAAUCCAGGUCAGUUCUCUCCCUCUGAGGAUCUCUCCACAUACCCAUCUGACUUUCAUGGUGAUAUCCUCAAGCUCAUGUCCAUGUCCAUUCCUGGUGGUGUAGAUGUUGUUUUCCAUCCCCAUAAUCUCUAUGACUAUAGAACUGAUAAUAAAAACAAGAAUGACAUUGUUAAUUGUACUGAUAGUAGGGAUGAUUGCAAGAAUUUAAAGGUUGAAGGGGUGGUGUCGUGUGUGGAAGAGAAGGGGACGGGACAUGAGACAUGGGUGAGAGUGGAGAGACUUGAGAAGGGUUUGUGUGGGAACAGUAGGCCGGUGUUCUUUAGAGGGGUUGCUACUAUUGUCACCAAGUUGUUUAAUAUAGUGGAGCCUGACUUUGCUGUGUUUGGGAAGAAGGAUUACCAGCAGUGGAGAAUUAUUCAGCGAAUGGUUCGAGAUCUUGAUUUUUCCAUAAGAAUAAUAGGUUCUGAAGUAAUGCGCGACAGUGAUGGUCUUGCAAUGAGUUCCCGCAAUGUGCACCUUUCUCCUGAAGAGAGGGAAAAGGCCUUGUCUAUGAACAGGUCAUUGUUGAAAGCUAAAUCAUGUGCAGAAAAAGGCCAAAUAAAUUGUAUAGAGCUAAGAGACUUGGUCAUCCAAGCAAUAAAUGAAGCUGGAGGGAAAAUUGAUUAUGCUGAGAUUGUAGACCAGGAAACCUUGGAGGCUGCAGAA